rnacentral:lncRNA from 1 species
CCCAAAUAAUCUAAUGCUCUGCUAGUUGGCGGGCGUGCGUGCGUUCAUAGGUUUAAGGCAAUGAACAGAAUUAAGGCCCCUUGUUCAUAGGUUGAUUUAGAUUCUACAAAAUCUGAUUAUAGAGAAUAAUCAGAAUCAGCAGCGAAAGUUACUCUUUGGAUGAUUUCUAGAUUUUAGCUCUUUUUGGGUCAUCAGAAAAUCUACGAUCAAAAUACAAAAACAACCGAGAACGAGCCCUAAAUACCAACAGCUGCUUUGUUUGCAUUGAGUGAAAGUAGUGUUAUAGACACUAUGAUCUCAUCGACCACAAGCAUGUUAAAAAGUCUUAGAUGUUACCCUCUAUCGCCUGAGAGGCUGAGAAAAUCUAAGGGAAGAGAAUAAAUAAGUAUUUUUGUUAUCACAUGAACUUCCACUGCACUGUUUAUUACUCAUGCAACCUUCGGUGCUAAUCACUUCUUCUUUUUUAAUUUUGGGUGCGUGCAGCAUCAACUGAAAUGAUGGGGGAGAAAUGAACGGGAGGCUCUUGGACGUUUUUCAAUCUCUGCCUUAUUUUGCCCGUUUGGAGAAUAAAGAAUUCCAUGGGUUUGAGACCCAGAUCAGAUGUAAUAACCUAGUGGGAUGCAAGUUUGGUUUUGGAUAUUCUUUUCUUUUCUACUAAAUAAAUAAGGAUUCAUUCACGCAACGAACUCGUCCUUACAAUAAUACAUGGUGAAAUUUAUAGUCACAUACGUGUCAUGUUUCCUCUUUCCAGGCCCUUCUAUGUCUUUGCAUAUAUGUUGAAAGUAAGAUGUCAUCAACCACUUUAUAUAUUUUCCACAUAAUCGGGACGUCAUUCAUGGGUUUGAAGAAGUUUCUCUUCAAUUGGAAAAAUCCACAAAUUAAAAGGACAUAUUAUUGCACCAAGAGAAGAAAGACAGAGGAGGUAACUUCUGAAUCGGAAACAACAUAAAGCAAUUGAUGCCAAUAGAAUGAUUAAACUUGGAAGAACUUGCAGAUACCAAUCCACUAAUCAGUUUUCCUUUCAUCUUAGGACGAGAAUGAAAACGCGCAUUCUCAGAUCCUGGGCCAUAUAUAUUGCAUUGCAGCACCCAGCCACUUCCACAACUGUAUAGGUAAAAACUCAGGCACCACUACAAUCCUAAUAUCUCUUCUUCUGUUGAAAUCAAAAGGGCAAUCAACGCCUGCAAAUACUUUUAGCCGCAUCACCAAAUCUGACUUUCUUGUCGCGAACUCGACAUGUAAAUGACAGGUUCAAAUUCAACCUAAGCUACUCAACAUCUGGGUCCAAAUGAUUUUUACCCAAUACAUUUUCCAAGAGGCAACACUAACAUCAAAAAACAUCAAAGGUGUCUUGUCAGCCAUGUAACAAAAAGCUUGCUUGUCGCCUGACCGGUAUGACCAAUGAUUCUCAUCUUUUCUUCACCCCAUAGGAUGUCGCCUCCUGCACAUUUUCAGGAAAUUUUUCAUAAAUGAAAACAGUCUAUCCAUUAUAUAGCAAGUCAGGGACAAAUUUCACAGAUUCCAAACCCGUUUGCACCACCCCCUCUCCUAAGCCCAAGCAUAAACCAAUCAAAUGAUUGAGAAUAGUAGUCUACGAGACUUUAGAGAAUGUAGGUGCAAAUUCAUUGGUGCCCCGUGUGGACCGGUACUCAAAAAGUUCAAAGCAGCAACCUUUAUGGGGCAAAACCAACUAAAAGAAGAAAAAGCUAUGGCAGUUACCUCUUAGGCCGUCCUCGAUCUUCCUCAUAGUCCAUCAUUCCACCUUCAGAGUAGAUCUCCUCGUGCCCUCGGAAGUCAAUGUCGGCCUGCUUACAGUUUUUAACUUCUGCCACAACGUAAGUAAGACACAUCGACAAACAUAUCCCAGUGCAUGGAAAUAUAUUCGGAAGAGACGCUGCUUAGAACUACGGCAAUUUGAUGAUUUUGGCUCAAAACACAAGUCAUUUCCAUGCAGCAGGGUAAGACAAACGAAGCAAUCUCACUUCAGGUAUAACUUUAAAAGAUCCCAUCAUGUCUUGUUUUGUUAGGAAAAGAAUAGACGGAAACAAGAAACUGAGAAAAGAACCAAAUUUACCAGUCUUGACCACUUUGAAAUAAAUUGACGUACAGAGAAGCCGGAACAAGCAAACUGAAGCAACAGUAAUGUUUAGGUCCCUUGGCAUAAACGAUGUUAAGUGAAUCUAACGGCAUCAAAACAUAGCAUAUAGCUAAAACUCCAAAAUUUUAAAAGCCUCCUCCACGUCCCCUCCAAGAAGCUCAAUAAAAAGACCAUGACUAGGAAAAGAGAUAAACAACUUCCACCACCUUCCUUUUCAGAUAACAGUUGUACAGGCUCCAAGAAGUUCAGCAAGUAAAACUCGGACCAAAUUUGAACAUGUGACUAAACAAAACUCUCUCUCUCUCUCUCUCUCCCCUUGAUCCAUGUGAUUUUGUUCUAACAAUUACUUCUUAAAAGCCAAACAUCUUGUUGUAACAAUUAAAGAAAUCAUUCUGUUGUCUUUUUUUUAAAAGCAAUAAUAUAAUGGAAUCACAUGGUUAUGUUGGAAUGGAAAUCUUAAGAAUAAUUAGAGCUAAACUUCAAUUAACUGACCUUCAGGGAUUUCUUUACUUCUUCAACUUUUUCUUCAACUUCUUUACCAUGCUUCUUGUCCAAUUCACUCAUCGUAUCUGCCCAUUUAAUCUUCUCCUGAAUGGAGACAAGUAAGUCGUCCGAUGUCACCAACCUGUGUUUUUCAUUAUACCAAAAAAAAAAGGCUUUAAUAAGCAAGUUGAAAAUUUCGCUUGCCACAAUAAUCUCAUGACAUACAGAUUAUCAGAUUUCUACUCUGAUUUAAUAAACUACUAAUUACUUUCAUAAAAUGGAUGUGCAGGACCUACAAAUAUGUUUUAAUUUUCAGAAUUCAAUUUAUGUCUUAUGGCCCAUCAAGCUUCCCAAAACCUACAAAUGUAAUCUUCCAGACUAUCACAAAAAGUCAAAUAUGGAUCAUAGUCAACUUAAACAACGGUUAAGCCAUUAGAAUUUAGGGUAAAUCACACUUUGCCCCCCUGAACUUUAGGGGUAGUCACAUUUUUCCACCCUCAAUCUUAAAAAUAUAAACUUCACCCCCCACGAGGACUAGUCAAAGUUAGAAAUUAAAAAAAGAAAAAAAAAUGAAUGCAAUGACAUUAUUGCCCCUCUAUUUAUGAUUAUAUUUAUAACUUUGUAUUAUUUCCCUUUUAUUGCAAAAUAUAUACAUCUUCUCUAUGGUAUCUACUAUAAAAAAAAAAUCAAAUUUGUAAAAGCUUAAAAACAGUUUUAUGUUUAGUUUAUUAUUCUUAAAAGUUUUCCCGUUGAAUCGAUGUUCACUUUUAUACAUACUUAGUUCAAUUUAUUAGACUUUAAAUAAAACAAUAAAGAUAAAUAACAAAGUAUUAACAAUAUAUAGAGUUAGCAAAUUUUUGGAAAAGCAAGGCAAUAUUAAAUUCAUUAUUUUUUGGAAACUAGUAUUUUUUAUAUUUGUUUAUGUAAACUGUUAAAUAAUAUUAUUCUCAUUUUUUAUUUGUCAAAUGAAUCAAAUAUUAAAUACUUAACCAAAAUUGUUAAAAAGGGCUGACGCCUUAUUUUUCAACUUAAAGGAGGAAAAUAGAGAUUAAGUUAAGCAUCACAUUUUUUCUGGGCAAGAAAAGGACAAUCAUAAUAAACUAUAAAUAAUUUCGACAAUAAAGGGGGGCAACAGUGUCAUAACACUCACUUCUUUUUUAUGGAGUCAAGAUUUUCAAGGUUGACUGGUCUUCGUUGGGGUGAAGUGUAUAUUUUUAAGGUUGAGGUUGGUAAAGUAUGUCUACCCUCAAAGUUCAGAAGGGUAAAGUGUUACUAACCCCAGAUUUUAUAUGGUAAUCACAGGCAAUGCUCAGUAAAUCUGUCCAAUACAAAAGUAGACACUCUCAAUUAACAAAAUGUUAGGCAGUCACAUCCCCGUAAGCUUUCAUGGCAGAAAAAACCUUUCCUUCAGGAACCAGAUAUCCAAGAAAGUAACAGUUAAACUCCGUAUAUACUUACAAGACCUUUACAUAUUGCAACUAAAACUUCAGGAAGUACGCAGAUAACCUUGAUAGGAGGAGUAAUUUGAUUGGCAUAAUAGAAGUGGCUCAUGGUCCGAGAACCAGACAAGCUAGUCCUCUAUAGUACAGAAGUUCUGAUACAUAAACUGUAAUACACAUCUAACACUUGACAAGAAUACAAGCAAAAACUAAGUAAAAUCAGAGCAGCAUAUACCAACAAUUGUUUGCAAAGGCAAGGCAACAGUAUCCGUAACAAUGAACAAUUAAAAAGAGAAUAUUACCAAUUACUCAAUGUCUGUAUCAUAUUGCCCAGUUGACCAGGUCGGAGAUCCCUCCCUGCUGCAAACUGAACCUGCAAUAACCACCAAACAGAUUAUUGAUCCAAUCAUCAAAAGAUUAAAAAUUAAAUAAUAGAAGUCGAACAAGGUGGAGAAUCAUCAAACCUCGAAGCAUCUCCGCAACUGAUCCAACUUUCCCCUAACUAUGCCCUGUCCACCACAAAAGUUACCAAGUAAAGGGUUAGAGAACAAAAACCAAAAUUACAGCACAUCAAUCCUUCAUUAAUUUUAAUGUAAUGCAAUGGUAGAAAACAAUCCCAACAAAUUAUGCUAUAAGCUUCAAAAUCUCAAAGAGUAAACACCAAAACCGUAUAUAUGCCGAAAGGCUUCAAAGAUCAACUGUUAUGUCUUAUGGUCUUACACUGGUUUCUAGACAAAGAAUGUUAUAUUACUUGUUCCCAACGAAAUGAUGAGGGAGGUGAGAGCAGUACACUUACCACAUACAUGCACUCAUUAAUCAAAAAAUCUUCAAGUUCACGCACAUUUGAAACAUCCAACUCCUGCAUAAGACCUUCAUAGGGGAGUACCUAUCAUCAGAAAAAGAGAUAAAGAGCAAUCAGAGACUGUAAACAAUUAUAAAAGACCACUAUGUAGAAAACAAUAACAUAGGGACCUAUUUCUGGUUUGUUUGUAAAUAAAGAAUUAAUGAUGCUAUACAAAACAACAAAAGCAACAGCAAUGAUUAGAAGUGCUAAAAAAGCUUUAGAGUCUUCUAUCUUGGGAAUCCCCAUGGAAGAAUCAGCUUAUUGCACCUGCAUUGUAUUAUCCUCCAAACUAUGUUAAAGUAGAAAACACCUGUCUAACAAGAAAACACCUGUCUAACUUUGUUACCUGGAGGCAUAAGAAACACCAAAAGAGACAACCAAAACAACAAAUUAGACAGAAAGUUGAAUUGGCCACAAAAUACAUCAAAGAUUCUAUAUUAGUCACAAUAGAUGAAUGACCAGCAUUACAAUACCAAAAAACAACAAAAGGUGUCACAAAAAAAGAAAAAAGGGAAGGGUUUCUUGUCGCAUUAGAACGUCCUGUCCCUCAACAAGUUUUCAGCACACAUAAGUCCCUUAUGGCUUCAAUCUGUUUAUAUAAAUAGAAUAAAUCACCAUCGCUCUUCCAAUUUCCAAUAGUAAACCUAUUCAGCUAGUAACUAUCAAAUAGAAAAAUACUUCAAAACAGAACGAGUUUUCUACUACUAAUAGUAAGAAAAAACUCCCAACUAUUACCAUAAAUCAAAAUCUCCAAAAAGAUUCUUCUUGCUUAUUCGAAAGAUUAAAAAAUUUUGAGGCAAUAUACCUUGUUUGACUUUAAAGAAUUUUGAGGCAAUAUACCUUGUUUGUCUCAGCCAGAGUAAGCACUGUGAGCUGUUUUAAUUUGAGUACUUGAUCAGGUAAUAAGUGCGGAAGCCGGUCAGCAACACCUACAAAAUGCAUGCACAUUUUCCAAUAAUAACAUCACUAACAGGGGCAAAGAAUUUUUUUCCAUGCAUCUAAGUAGAUGACUGCAAGCCAACACAAUCAGGUUCUAAUCAGAUCUCAAAGACAUAUAAAAGACCUGCGGUGUCCAACAAAUAGCUUUCAAAAAGUAACAUGCAAUACAGUCAUUCAAAUAUUACGGCAUUCCGAUAACAUUUUCCAGCUUCCAACAUUCAAAUUAUGAACCAGAUCACCAUCACAGUGGGCGUAGAAAAUUUAACCAGCUAUAAAUCUCCUCUGAGAUACUAAAUAACUAGCAAGGAGCAAUAAAUACCUCAUUGUUUCCCGUCAUCCCUGAUUGUGUUUCAUUUCCUUAAUUGCAAUAUAAAAGAUAAGUGUCAGACAAAAGCCAACAUCUCACAUAAUUUGAGAAGAUUUUGUGCAGUUUAACUCUUAGUGCCGUCUCGCUAUUCCUAAUUUCUCGACAUUAACCAUAACCCACCCACUCACAGAAACGUUGAAGGCAACACAAUACUCAGAUUUACAAGAAACAGGGACUUCAAGAGAUGGAGAACCGCUACCAAAAAAAAAAAGUAGGUCAGAAGCGAAGUACGAGAUGAUCAUGAGUGCUUACUCUUGUAUUCACUCCAUGUUCCGUGGGCAAACAACCGAAGCAACUCUAGAUACACAGAAUGCUCUGUUCCCUGAAGCUGUAUGAAGCACCAGCAAAUCAGAAUGUUCACCAAAGAAAAUGUGUUAUUAAAACACAAAAUUAAUAGAAACAAAAGAGUUCAGACGCAACAAAUUGGUUUUCACACAGAGAACAUGCAUCAUCCAAAACGGGCAUAUCUCAAAAACUAAGCCCUGGUACACCAUAGCGGUAUUUCAUAAUAGCCAAGGAAAGUCAAUAAUUUGAGUGCAGAAAUACGCAUGAAUAGGAGCUGGGAGCUGAGCCCUUCAGCUUUCAUCACGGUGGGCACUCACAGAUUUAUUGCCUAGACACGUGCUAAAACAUAGUCAUUUCUGAGGGCCAACUUGUUCUGAAAAAUGCCUUCUUUUGAUUCUGUAUGCUUCUCCAUGUUUUAUGUCCUCUAAACUGUCGCAGUUCACUUGGAAAACAAAGCUCAUAAUUCAAAAGCUUCAAGUGCAAAACCAGAAACCAUAUAUAUGAAUAUAAUUAAACCAAGAUUAAAACUUGCCCUAAACGACAUUAGGUCUCCCUUUAUAUAAAUGUUUUGACCCUACUGUCAAUUCUAACACGGCACGUGAAGAAACUAACAGACCACGUUUGUACGGAACCCAAUUCUCUUAAAAGCCCAAGACAGGGGCAGGACCAAAAUUGUCUCUCUUACACUCCCUCAACUUAACCCAAUAAAUCACCAUACAAUACUUCAGCAGCAUCAUACAGUCCGGAUAUACUUGUACGUCUUUGUAUGCAAACAUACAAUACUUCCGUGAGAUAGAGAUCAUCAGGACAGACAUACACAUCUUUGUACUUAUGUACAAAAUAUUCAAGCGGAAACUGAACAAAUUUCAAGCAUAUUGACAAAAUGAAAUGCCAACAGGUGUACUAAUUAAUCAGGAAACAAGAAUUAAGACAAAGAACACGCAUUGAAAAAACAUCAAAUUAGUUUGAGAGACAUCCUAAAAAUUUACUGAAGCACAAUUCCACGAAGUGCAACAACGGAAGGGGGAAAAAAAGGUCAGCACAUAAAAAGGUCAUCUGAUUUCAAAAAAAAAAAAACAACAAA